rnacentral:rRNA from 1 species
GAGUUUGAUCCUGGCUCAGAAUGAACGCUGGCGGCGUGCUUAACACAUGCAAGUCGAACGAAGCAGUUUAUUACGAUCCCUUCGGGGUGACGAUAUACUGACUGAGUGGCGGACGGGUGAGUAACGCGUGGGUAACCUACCUUGUACAGGGGGACAACAGUUGGAAACGACUGCUAAUACCGCAUAAGCGCACAGCUUCGCAUGAAGUAGUGUGAAAAGUUUUUUCGGUACAAGAUGGACCCGCGUCUGAUUAGCUAGUUGGUGAGGUAACGGCUCACCAAGGCGACGAUCAGUAGCCGACCUGAGAGGGUGACCGGCCACAUUGGGACUGAGACACGGCCCAAACUCCUACGGGAGGCAGCAGUGGGGAAUAUUGCACAAUGGGCGAAAGCUGAUGCAGCGACGCCGCGUGAGGGAAGGAGUAUUUCGGUAUGUAAAGCUCUAUCAGCAGGGAAGAUAAUGACGGUACCUGACUAAGAAGCACCGGCUAAAUACGUGCCAGCAGCCGCGGUAAUACGUAUGGUGCAAGCGUUAUCCGGAUUUACUGGGUGUAAAGGGAGCGUAGGCGGUUUUACAAGUCUGAUGUGAAAGCCCGCAGCUCAACUGCGGUAUUGCAUUGGAAACUGUAGAACUAGAGUGUCGGAGGGGUAAGUGGAAUUCCUAGUGUAGCGGUGAAAUGCGUAGAUAUUAGGAGGAACACCAGUGGCGAAGGCGGCUUACUGGACGAUUACUGACGCUGAGGCUCGAAAGCGUGGGGAGCAAACAGGAUUAGAUGCCCUGGUAGUCCACGCCGUAAACGAUGAAUACUAGGUGUUGGCUUCCAUAGGGAGUCGGUGCCGCAGCAAACGCAAAAAGUAUUCCACCUGGGGAGUACGUUCGCAAGAAUGAAACUCAAAGGAAUUGACGGGGACCCGCACAAGCGGGGGAGCAUGUGGUUUAAUUCGAAGCAACGCGAAGAACCUUACCAAACCUUGACAUCCCGAUGACAAAGCAUGUAAUGUGCUCUCUCUUCGGAGCAUCGGUGACAGGUGGUGCAUGGUUGCCGUCAGCUCGUGCCGUGAGAUGUUGGGUUAAGUCCCGCAACGAGCGCAACCCUUAUCUUUAGUAGCCAGCAUUUAGGAUGGGCACCCUAGAGAGACUGCCCGGGUGAACCGGGAGGAAGGUGGGGAUGACGUCAAAUCAUCAUGCCCCUUAUGAUUUGGGCUACACACGUGCUACAAUGGCGUAAACAAAGGGAAGCAAUUGGGUGACCAUGAGCAAAUCUCAAAAAUAACGUCUCAGUUCGGAUUGUAGUCUGCAACUCGACUACAUGAAGCUGGAAUCGCUAGUAAUCGCGAAUCAGAAUGUCGCGGUGAAUACGUUCCCGGGUCUUGUACACACCGCCCGUCACACCAUGGGAGUUGGGAAUGCCCGAAGUCUGUGACCCAACCGUAAGGAGGGAGCAGCCGAAGGCAGGCUCGAUAACUGGGGUGAAGCCGUAACAAGGUAACC